rfam:Myotis lucifugus cont2.24333, whole genome shotgun sequence.
GGCGAUUUUUGGGUGAUGCACCCCAGAACUGGGCUCCCUCCUCUCUGGUUCUGGGUGAGUCACCCGAGAAAUGCA